rnacentral:rRNA from 1 species
CGGGGUGCACCAGGCGCGAAAACUUUACAAUGCCGGCAACGGCGAUAAGGGAACCUCGAGUGCCAGGUUAUAAAUCUGGCUGUCGUGAUGCCUAAAAAGCAUUGCAUAGCAAGGGCCGGGCAAGACCGGUGCCAGCCGCCGCGGUAACACCGGCGGCUCGAGUGGUAACCGUUAUUAUUGGGUCUAAAGGGUCUGUAGCCGGCCGGGUAAGUCUCUUGGGAAAUCUGGCAGCUUAACUGUCAGGCUUUCAGGAGAUACUGCCUGGCUCGAGGCCGGGAGAGGUGAGAGGUACUUCAGGGGUAGGGGUGAAAUCUUGUAAUCCUUGAAGGACCACCAGUGGCGAAGGCGUCUCACCAGAACGGACCUGACGGCAAGGGACGAAAGCUAGGGGCACGAACCGGAUUAGAUACCCGGGUAGUCCUAGCCGUAAACGAUACUCGCUAGGUGUCGGCCACGGUGCGACCGUGGUCGGUGCCGUAGGGAAGCCGUGAAGCGAGCCACCUGGGAAGUACGGCCGCAAGGCUGAAACUUAAAGGAAUUGGCGGGGGAGCACAAGGGCGAAUCGC